AGUCAAUCCCCUGUUAUGUGAGGCGCGGGUCGCCGCCGACGAAGCCGCGGUUCCAGCAACGCCGAAAUGCAACGGCGCCGCCGGCAACCAAUACGGCCUCCGCCCCCAGCUGGCCUCCCGCCUUUGCACUGCACAUUUCCGCUGGGGUUUGUAUGGACAGAUCUUACUGGGACUUUGUGAAGAUGGCGCAAGGAGGAACUUCGGCUAUAUAUGGAUCGCUGCAUUGACAAGUUACAGUAACUAGAAUGUGCUAGGGCGUCUAAGUGUUGGUUAAUUAUCCAUGUGUAAUAAUGCGGUGUAUGUAAUGAAUAUUUGUACCACUGAUGAUUGAUGUUCCGUUUCUCAUAAAGCACCAACUUUUCCGAUGAAAUGUAGUGCAAUUCAACAAACAAUAAGAGUUUUGUUACCAGAA